rnacentral:misc_RNA from 1 species
UUUAAACGUCAUUGUCGUUGUCUGUACCGUGCUGCAGUACAAUCUGUUUUAUAGAACGCGCGCUUGUACGCGCGAUCGUAAAAAAUCGGCAACUAUGCGCCUAGCGUACGCGCACGUUUUCUAAUUAGUCGGUGUCUGGCACUGCAACGAGAGAUGUCGGCGAAUGAUUCUAACGAGCUGAACGCGGUGAUGACGACGUCCACGACGGCGGCGUCUGCGGGGGCUGCAAUGGUCACGACGGCCACGACGGCCACGACGGCUAUGUCGGCCAUAACGGCUAUGACGGCCACGACGGCGACCGAGCCAAUUAUAUUAACUCCUAAAACACUGCAAAAUAUUAUUAAAGCAGCUGUCGUGGCUGCAGUAGGAAGAGGAAGAGGGAGAGGGAGAGGAAGAGGCAGAGGAAGAGGAAGAAGCAGAAGCAGCGGCGAAGACAGAGCAUUGGAUUGCCAAACACAUUGGAAGUGUGAGUAAUGUUGGUGCAACAUCUAAUAUUUUAGCAAAUCAGCCUCGAAAUAUGCAAUACUAUAAUUACUAAAAUGACAACGUUAAGAUAAUGUAAGAUACAGACGAGGGAGGACAGCACCAGUCUAUUCCGGGGGGAGCCACGGGAGAAAGACCGGUCCUGAGAGAUCAGACUCGACGGAUGGAGAAGAGGAUAAAAGGAGACGCACGGAG